CCAUCAGCAAGCCGACCUCUCUGCCCGCCCACGUCCGGCUUCCUUUCGAUGUCGACGGGAGGAAAGGGUCACGCAGGCCACCAACCGGCGGUGGAGGGCGCGGUGCCGAGUCCUGCCACUGCAGGGUCGCCCCGCUGGCUCGAGCUCUAGAAGCGUAGACCUCCCCAACCGCAAAAAGCAAUUCAGCGGCGAAAUCGCGGACUCUUUUGACCCUUCCGAGGGUCUCGCUCUUCCGCCCAGUCUUGAGUGCAGUGGUGAGAACAGGGCUUACUGCAGCCUCAAAAUCCUGGACCCAAAAGAUCCUCCCACCUCAGCCUGCCUCCCAGGUAGCUGGGACUACAGGCGCACACCACCAUCGCUUCUUGGAUUAAAAGAAAAGGAUGAAACGGGCCCCAGAAAGAGGCGGUGACGUCCCAGAACCCAUGGCAGGGGAGUUGGGAAAAUAAAUAUUUGUAUUGUUUUAA